rnacentral:rRNA from 1 species
UUCUUUAAGAUAUAAAUUAAAGUAAUUCCUGCUCAAUGAUUAUAUUAAAUAGCCGCAGUCACCUGUGCUAAGGUAGCAUAAUAAUUUGCUCUCCAAUUAAGAGAUAGAAUGAAAGGACAAACGACUCACAGCUGUUUCAUUUCAAUAAAUUAACUUAAAUUUAUCGUAAAAAAUCGACAAUUUUAAAAAAGAAAGACGAUAAGACCCUAAUAAACUUAUUAAUUAGUUGGGGCGACAAAUUAAAAACACCUUAAUUGUAUUAACAUAAAUAAUUAAAAUUAAAAAAGUCUAGUUACUAUAGGGAUAACAGCGCAAUUUCUUUUAAGAGAUCUUAUCAAAAAAGAAGUUUACGACCUCGAUGUUGAAUUAAUUUACAAACUGGGGCAACCUCCAUAAAAGUUAGUCUGUUCGACUAUUUAAAUAUU